GACGAACGCUGGCGGCGUGCUUAACACAUGCAAGUCGAGCGGAAAGGCCCUUCGGGGUACUCGAGCGGCGAACGGGUGAGUAACACGUGGGCAACCUGCCCCUCGCUCUGGGAUAACUCCGGGAAACCGGGGCUAAUACCGGAUAUGACCUCGGACGGCAUCAUCUGAGGUGGAAAGUUUUUCGGCGAGGGAUGGGCCCGCGGCCUAUCAGCUUGUUGGUGGGGUAACGGCCCACCAAGGCGACGACGGGUAGCCGGCCUGAGAGGGCGACCGGCCACACUGGGACUGAGACACGGCCCAGACUCCUACGGGAGGCAGCAGUGGGGAAUAUUGCGCAAUGGGCGAAAGCCUGACGCAGCGACGCCGCGUGAGGGAUGAAGGCCUUCGGGUUGUAAACCUCUUUCAGCAGGGACGAAAUCAGACGGUACCUGCAGAAGAAGCACCGGCCAACUACGUGCCAGCCGCCGCGGUAACAC
rnacentral:rRNA from 1 species